rnacentral:rRNA from 1 species
CGACCGGCGCACGGGUGAGUAACACGUAUCCAACCUGCCGUCUACUCUUGGACAGCCUUCUGAAAGGAAGAUUAAUACAAGAUGGCAUCAUGAGUCCGCAUGUUCACAUGAUUAAAGGUAUUCCGGUAGACGAUGGGGAUGCGUUCCAUUAGGUUGUUGGCGGGGUAACGGCCCACCAAGCCUUCGAUGGAUAGGGGUUCUGAGAGGAAGGUCCCCCACAUUGGAACUGAGACACGGUCCAAACUCCUACGGGAGGCAGCAUG